UACAGAGGCCUCGAGCGUUGUUCGGAAUUACUGGGCGUAAAGGGAGUGUAGGUGGUGAUGUAAGUCAGAUGUGAAAGCCCUGGGCUUAACCCGGGAAGUGCAUUUGAUACUGCGUCGCUAGAGUGCGAGAGAGGAAAGUGGAAUUCCAAGUGUAGGGGUGAAAUCCGUAGAUAUUUGGAGGAAUACCGAUGGCGUAGGCAGCUUUCUGGCUCGUAACUGACACUGAGACUCGAAAGCGUGGGUAGCAAACAGG
rnacentral:rRNA from 1 species